CAAAAUUUGAGUUCGAGAAAUUUUUUUCAUUAUUCUACAUUAUAAGUACCCAAAGAAGCUAUAUAUAUAAAAGACCGGAUACAAAUAGGUGUUUUGCGAAAUUGAGAGCAAUUUCAAAUCUGUUCAGUUUUUUUUUAUACACCCUGUAUAUCCAGCUAGUUUGUUAACAAAGGUAUUUUCUACCGCAAUCGAAAGGACUGCUGUCGAUUUGUCGAAAGAAUUUUUUACAUUUUUGUCGAUAAUAUGUCAAGAGCUAGCCAGUUUACUAAUUAUAAGUAAUG